GUCCCUUCCCUCAGGGCCUCAGGUGUAGGGAAGCUGGAGGAACAGCGUCCAUGAGACAAGGUUGAGUGCCUUUUCCACCAAGUAUCCCGUCCUUCCUACUUUCUCAGACCUCACAACAGUAAGAGGGCAUGUUGCUCGCCUACUUAACGGAUGAGGAAAGCAGGGCUGUGCAUAAUGUGAGCAGGACUUUGGGAAAACACGUUUUGUGGGGCGUCUGACUAGACCAGCGAUUCGAGUAAAGGGUACUGUACGGCUUCCCGGCCCGCGAGCGGUUUAGUCACGGGUCCAGAAGACGUCUUUCCUUUCACUUAAGUGAAGACGCCUCUUGGGGUGGAGGUCCCAGGUCUUCCCACUUAGGUCCAGGAGCCACCCGUCUCUCCGUGUCUUCACCGCCAGCCGUGCCGGGCCAGGAUAUUGGGGCUUCCUAGGUGGUGCUAGUGGUAAAGAGCCUGCCUGCCAGUACAAGAGACAUAAGUGACACAGGUUUGAUCCCUGUGUCGGGAAGAUCCCCUGGAGGAAGUCAUGGCAACCCACUCCAACAGUGAAGGACAGGGAAGCAGAGAGUCGGACACGACUGAGCGACGGAACAACAGCUGGCACGAAGCUUUCUGCGUUUUGAACAAAGGGUUCCGCAUUUUCCUUUUGCUCUGGGCCCUGCAGAUGACCCAGCUGGCGGAACUGCUGGUCCUUUCUUCCUUGGCUGCAGGUUGCCAGAGACAGCUACUGUGAAUUCCUCGGGGGAGAUUUUUCCAGAGCUGCAUGCGUGUGUUUCUCUGCAGAUAUUUAAAAAAAAGAGCCCAAUUCAGACCCACUGUCCUAUGAGAGCUUCGUGUUCCUGUCGCCGCAGAGGGAAGAAACAGUCUGCGUGGGGAGGGUCAAGGUCCUGGAU
ensembl:lncRNA